CUUGAACUAGAUUGAUCGUUGGCAACUCGGAUGAAUAAUUAAAUCUCCCCAAACACAGUGUAUUGUAUGUGUUCUCUCUCUCUCUCUCUGCCCACCUGUGAUUCUGCUGGAUCGGAGCUGCUCAUGGAGUCUCAUUGGAGAGUACGCCUCGAGAGCCAUGCGUCAGCUGGCCGACUCCAACAUGUUCAUGUGUGAGCGGUCCCGCCCUGCGCAACGCCAUGCUCCUCGGUCUCGCAAGUCGACAAAGAAAACCCUAAACUGCGGCUCCCCACCACCUCGUUUCCAUUACUUUUAAUCCCCGGUUGUCGGUAGCUGUGGACUUUUGGAAUCUUAGUGGGUCGUCGACUUCUCUCCCGUUUCCCUUCCUUCCUUCCUUCCUCCGCCGGAUCGUAUCAGCUGGAUGAUGGAGAAUAUCGCUGAUCAGAUUCCAGGUUUUAACUUAUCUUUCUAAUCCACCAUCACGUACAGAAUCCAAUGAUAACCAACGUCGUGAUGCAGAAAGACUGUCUUGCCGAUUUCCUUGAUCUUUCUGUGAUCAUCUCUUUGUUAUGUCGAUGCUACUAUUCUUGUUGAGAAAGAGAGAGAGCACAAAUGGAAGUGUCAUGAAACGUAUAAGAAGAUGGACACCAUUUAUCUACUUCACAUGGGUUCAGGUGCAGGGCAGUGAAGUCAGCUCUGGAAGAAGUAAAAGAAUGGCUGCCGAGAGCUCCGACGAGACUAGAUGAGAGAGGAAAAGGCAUGGGUUUGACCUAGUACAAGAGUCAGCAACCAGUGCAGGUCGUAAAAGUGAUCUCUUUACUGUUUCUCCCGGAGGGAAUUAAACCAGUCAUCAUCUUCGAUCCUAUACACUCUCACGCCAGAGUUGGAAAUGAAAUAGGAUGUAGACUCGAGAUUACUUUGGGUGGAUCUUGCGCGUGUUGGCGAUAGAUUGAUGCGAACCAGGCAAUAUCCAAACGAAUAGAUUGUAGAGAAGAAUUUAAUUGGAGAGAAAGAAAAGCAAGGCAAGGCAUCCACAGUGUUGAUAGAUGUUGUGGAUCUAACAGUGUUGUGACAAGCUAAAUACUACUGACAUCUAAUCGAUCUUUCUGAAGCGAAAACACAAACAGAAUGGCUUGGCCACGCAAUUACAGUGGUGUUCUUCUCAUGAUCUGUCGAUCUCCUUCUCGUUGCCUGCCAAAUCUGGUGCCUUCUUCCGAUUCGCUUGGAUCAUGGAGCUUUUGCAGUGGGCGAUGGCGCCUUGUAUGGCGCUCUGCAACUCCUCCAUUGACGAAGCCGACAGCGACAGAGCGGGAGGAGGCUCAGGAAAUCCACCCCCGCUCAUGUAGAGCAGACCCGAGUGGCUGGGUGAAGACCGCAUGGAGGAAGGGCAGCUCGCAGCCCACUGCUUCUUCCUGGUAGGGUGGCCGAGCAGGUUGCCGGAGAAGGACUGUGAGUAGGAGUGCUCGAUGCCCUUUCCGCGGGCAUUGUUGCGGUCAACAACCAGGACAUUCUUUUUGCCCGAACUAGCGAGCAUUCUUUCCUUCUUGAUCGAGAAGGAGAAUGUCUUCUUCCGCUGAUGGUGCUGCGGCGGCGGUGGUGGCUGCUGCUGGUUGUGCCUCUGCUGCAGUAAAGACAGUUUCUCGUAGAUCGGUUUUACCUUCUUGACGUACUUCUUGAUAACCUCCUUUGCCGACGACGAGGACGAGGAGUUUGCUCGCUUAGUCGGAUGAGGAGGAGGGGCGGGAAUGCUGAUGCUGGGAUCGGCGGACGGGUCUAGUUUCUUGCUGCCGCGGUGGAGGAAGACAGAGGAGAAGCGGGUGGCCAAGAAGGAGAGGUACUUGGAACCGCCGGGGCGCUUGGUGGGGGAGACUCGCCGGGCGUCCUCCUCGGUGACGGAGCUGGGGCGGGAGGAGUCGCACUCCGGGAGGAUGAGGUCGGCGACGGAGAAGGCGGAGGAGGAGGAGCUGCCGUUGGAGUCGCGGGAUUCGGUGGUGGUGGUGUCGGUGGAGGAGGAGGAGGCGGAGGCGAGGAUGAGAGUUCGGACCAUGGAGAUGCGAGGGGAGAGGUGGAGGGGGAGGAGCUGGCCUUUGUAGAAGAGCUCGUCGGCGGGGCACAACUGGGAGCAGGAGCGCUUGGAGGAGGGGGAGAGGGAGACGGUGAACUCGAAGUCGGAGGAAGAGGACGAGGACGGGGACGGGAAGAAGGAGAGCGCAGGCGCGCCGCCGCUUCCCCUCGGCCCAUCCCCGUCUCUUGUCCGCUCCAUCCGCGGCCGCUACCUUGCUUUGACCGCGAUCAGAUGCCAAUGCUGUGGAGGUAGUUUUCUGCGAGGGGAAGGAAGCAGGUGCAGCAGAGACUUGGCUUUUAAGAACGAGCUACGCGUGUGCCACGUGAAAAAUUACGUGCGCGAAGUUGGACCACCAUGCCAAUGUGAGUGCCCCAAAUCAGCAUCAUUAUCCAGCUCAUAUGCCACUCUGGCAUGAAGCUUUCUAUACUCCGGGCAGUAACUUACAACAUCAAAUUUGAAAUAAAUGUAGUAUAAUCUUUUAACAUUGAAGUUUUAUCAAACGACACCCUCUGAGUUGGUUUUUACCGGAA